rnacentral:rRNA from 1 species
GACGAACGCUGGCGGCGUGCCUAAUACAUGCAAGUAGAACGCUGAAGGAGGAGCUUGCUUCUUCGGAUGAGUUGCGAACGGGUGAGUAACGCGUAGGUAACCUGCCUGGUAGCGGGGGAUAACUAUUGGAAACGAUAGCUAAUACCGCAUAACAGUAGAUGUUGCAUGACAUUUGCUUAAAAGGUGCAAUUGCACCACUACCAGAUGGACCUGCGUUGUAUUAGCUAGUUGGUGGGGUAACGGCUCACCAAGGCGACGAUACAUGGCCGACCUGAGAGGGUGAUCGGCCACACUGGGACUGAGACACGGCCCAGACUCCUACGGGAGGCAGCAGUAGGGAAUCUUCGGCAAUGGACGGAAGUCUGACCGAGCAACGCCGCGUGAGUGAAGAAGGUUUUCGGAUCGUAAAGCUCUGUUGUAAGAGAAGAACGAGUGUGAGAGUGGAAAGUUCACACUGUGACGGUAUCUUACCAGAAAGGGACGGCUAACUACGUGCCAGCAGCCGCGGUAAUACGUAGGUCCCGAGCGUUGUCCGGAUUUAUUGGGCGUAAAGCGAGCGCAGGCGGUUAGAUAAGUCUGAAGUUAAAGGCUGUGGCUUAACCAUAGUACGCUUUGGAAACUGUUUAACUUGAGUGCAAGAGGGGAGAGUGGAAUUCCAUGUGUAGCGGUGAAAUGCGUAGAUAUAUGGAGGAACACCGGUGGCGAAAGCGGCUCUCUGGCUUGUAACUGACGCUGAGGCUCGAAAGCGUGGGGAGCAAACAGG